CCAACUAGGCAAGGCAUCCAUUUUCUGGUCGUCUUCCUCGAUCCGAAACGGAAACCCCCCCGCCCCGCUCCUCAUUCAUUCCCCAUCUCGUAUCCUCCCCAACCCCGGCGACAAAACCCUAGCCUCCUCUUCCGUGUGAUGGGAUGCCGUCCAAACCCUACCCCGACCCCCUGACCCCCUCCUCCUCAGCCGCCGCCCCCGCGAUCUGGAUGUCCGCAUGGACGGUGCCCGGGCCCUGAUCGCCGCCGGGGCCACCGCCGUCUGCUGCCUCGUCUGCGCCUUCUGGGCCUUCCGCGCGUCCUCCUCCUCCUCCCCCUCCUUCUCCAAGAGGCACCAAUCCCCGUCGCUGCACUGCUGCGGCUGCGCCUCCUGCGGCUGCCGCGCCGCCAAGUCCGCUAACGGCGAGAUGGCCGUGGGCGGGGAGAACAAGAAGAAGGCGCAGGAGCCGGCCCCGCCCGAGGGCGGCGCCUCCAUGAUGGAGCAGCUCGUCCCCGAGAUCACCACCCACGCGCUCAGCUACCUCGACUACACCAGCCUCUGCCGCCUCUCCAUGACCAACUCCGCCAUGCGCGGUGCUGCCAACGACGACGGCGCCUGGAAGGCGCUCUACCACAAGGAUUUUACGGUGGAGCAGGGUACUAUAAAUCCACCUAAUGGAUGGAAGGCAUACUAUGCUGCUACAAAAGCCAUCAUGAAUCUUAAUGCAGAAUUCUACAAUAUCAUCAGGGAAGGGUCCUUGCCAGCAAUGAGCCGAUUUUGGCUCGAUGCAGAUUAUGUUAAGUGUAUUCACGCGACUGGGGAGUUCUUCACUGGGCUAAAUCAAUUCAAGUUGGUCAUGUUUGGUUUGAUUGGCUUAAGGCGGCCUGCAUUGUGAAGCUCCUGUUUGGUUGGGUGUAUCGUGUGCUAUGGUAACCUUGUAUUUGUCGGAGAUACAAUGCGGUGAUGGAGGGAUGGGGCUUGCUGUUCAACUGGGGCCAAGAUGGAGGGCAGGGCAUUGCUUUCCAGAUACGGGAUGUCCGUGUUCGUGUUCUUGGUGAGGUGGCAUGGGUCAAUUUGAAGGCUAACGUCGAUGUUGACCCUGUGCUGUUCCAUGUGACAAAUGUGUAUGAGUUACGCAAUGGCAGGUGGUAUAUGGUUCACCAUCACAGCUCGCUCAUGGCUGACCCUGUUCCGCAUAAUCUGUUUGGUUGAAGCUGGAGAAUGAAAGCAUGGAAUCUUGGUUGAGGAAACUAGAUGGCGCGGCUUCGAUGUGGCGUGCUCCUUGACUGGUAAUAGAUUAUCAGAUGUAUUUGAGAGAGGUUCCCCCCCCCAUCGAUUUUCUCCGUUCUGGAUCUCCUGUCGAUAUUACCCUUCUGGAUGUCCAUUCUGCAGCUUUGUAUAAAUGUGUUUUAGGUGUUAAAACUUAAUUGGUGAGUGAAAGGUUAUGGCGCCCUGUGGGCUGCGGCUGACUUAUCUGGUGCCUACUUAAUGCGCGCUAUCUUGUCUUU